rnacentral:rRNA from 1 species
GUCCAGACUCCUACGGGAGGCAGCAGUGGGGAAUAUUGCACAAUGGGCGAAAGCCUGAUGCAGCAACGCCGCGUGAAGGAAGAAGGCCUUCGGGUCGUAAACUUCUGUCCUUGGGGAAGAAGAACUGACGGUACCCAAGGAGGAAGCCCCGGCUAACUACGUGCCAGCAGCCGCGGUAAUACGUAGGGGGCAAGCGUUAUCCGGAAUUACUGGGUGUAAAGGGAGCGUAGGCGGCAAGGUAAGUAAGAUGUGAAAGCCCGCAGCUUAACUGCGAGGAUUGCAUUUUAAACUAUCUAGCUUGAGUACAGGAGAGGUAAGCGGAAUUCCUAGUGUAGCGGUGAAAUGCGUAGAUAUUAGGAAGAACACCAGUGGCGAAGGCGGCUUACUGGACUGUAACUGACGCUGAGGCUCGAAAGCGUGGGGAGCGAACAGGAUUAGAUACCCUAGUAGA